CAGUGGGGAAUAUUGCACAAUGGGGGAAACCCUGAUGCAGCCAUGCCGCGUGUGUGAAGAAGGCCUUCGGGUUGUAAAGCACUUUCAGUAGGGAGGAAGGUAGUGUAGUUAACACCUGCAUUAUUUGACGUUACCUACAGAAGAAGCACCGGCUAACUCCGUGCCAGCAGCCGCGGUAAUACGGAGGGUGCGAGCGUUAAUCGGAAUUACUGGGCGUAAAGCGCAUGCAGGCGGCCUGUUAAGUCAGAUGUGAAAGCCCGGGGCUUAACCUCGGAAUUGCAUUUGAAACUGGCAGGCUAGAGUCUUGUAGAGGGGGGUAGGAAUUUCAGGUGUAGCGGUGAAAUGCGUAGAGAUCUGAAGGAAUACCAGUGGCGAAGGCGGCCCCCUGGACAAAGACUGACGCUCAGAUGCGAAAGCGUGGGGAGCAAACAGGAUUAGAUACCCUGGUAG
rnacentral:rRNA from 1 species